AUGGAUGAGUGCAUUUUUGCCCCUUCUGUUAUUUGCCAGUCUCACUGCACCUCCAUCUCGGGGCUCUACCAGGAUUCCAGCAAUGAAGUGGAAAAGAAGUCAGAUAUAGGGCGAAUCCCAGAACUGCCAUUGACCACCAAGAACCUAGAGCCAGCGACAUCAUCUCAGAAGAUAAAAAUCUGUGGAAUGGAGAGGAUCAUCCCGACACCGUGGGGCUGCGUAGCGAUGGGGUUUCACCAUGUUGGCCAAGUUGAUCUUGAACUCCUGAGCUCAAAUGAUCCACCCACCUUGGCUCCCAAAGUGCUGGGAUUACAGGCAUGAGCCACCCCACCUGGCCUAAAUGUACCGUCUCAAGGAGAAAAAGAGGAAGAGCGGAAGACCACGGCACAUGGCCUGUGAAUCACAUGCAGCAAGCUCUAACAACAGUUGAAACUCUGGGAUAUGAAUCUGAGAAGUUUCAGCAGAAAAACUACAUUGAGAAAUGAAAUUACCAAUGUAGCUGAAGAAGACAGCAUUUCUCACUUGAAACCAGGGAAAUUAAACGAAGACUGUAAAACAGAGAAAAAGCUGCCAUUUAGAAGUUGCCUGAAAAUGUAAAGAAACAGGUUUCAGAAAUAAAGUUGAAAACCUCUUGCA
rnacentral:lncRNA from 13 species